rnacentral:rRNA from 1 species
GACGAACGCUGGCGGCGUGCCUAAUACAUGCAAGUCGAACGCUGAAGGAGGAGCUUGCUUCUCUGGAUGAGUUGCGAACGGGUGAGUAACGCGUAGGUAACCUGCCUGGUAGCGGGGGAUAACUAUUGCAAACGAUAGCUAAUACCGCAUAAUAGUAGAUGUUGCAUGACAUUUGCUUACAAGGUGCAAUUGCAUCACUACCAGAUGGACCUGCGUUGUAUUAGCUAGUUGGUGGGGUAACGGCUCACCAAGGCGACGAUACAUAGCCGACCUGAGAGGGAGAACGGCCACACUGGGAACGAGACACGGCCCAGACUCCUACGGGAGGCAGCAGUAGGGAAACUUUGGCAAUGGACGGAAGGCUGAACGAGCAACGCCGGGGGAGGGAAGAAAGGUCUCGGGUCGGAAAGGUCUGUUGUAAGAGAAGAACGAGUGUGAGAGUGGAAAGUUCACACUGUGACGGUAUCUUACCAGAAAGGGACGGCUAACUACGUG